GUUUAAGGGCGGAGAGUAAAGUGGCGCACGGGUGAGUAACGCGUGGAUAAUCUACCCCGAGGCCCGGGAUAACUCGCCGAAAGGCGGGCUAAUACCGGAUAAUGUCCCAUUACCUAAGUAAUGUGACCAUAGGAGGCUCUGCUUCCGCCACAGGAUGAGUCCGCGUACCAUUAGCUAGUUGGUAGGGUAACGGCCUACCAAGGCUACGAUGGUUAGCUGGUCUGAGAGGACAUCGCACACUGGACUGAACACGGUCAGACUCUACGGAGGCAGCUGUGGGGAAUAUUGCGCAAUGGGGGAAACCCUGACGCAGCGACGCCGCGUGAGCGAUGAAGGCCUUCGGGUCGUAAAGCUCUGUCAGGUGGGAAGAACCCUCCGUCGAUUAAUAAUUGACGGAGCUGACGGUACCACCAGAGGAAGCACCGGCUAACUCCGUGCCAGCAGCCGCGGUAACACGGAGGGUGCAAGCGUUGUUCGGAAUCGCUGGGCGUAAAGGACGCGCAGGCGGCCCGGUAAGUCGGAAGUGAAAUCCGUCGGCUCAACCGACGAACGGCUUCCGAUACUGCCGGACUUGAGUACGGGAGAGGAAAGCGGAAUUCCCAGUGUAGAGGUGAAAUUCGUAGAUAUGGGAAGACACGGUGCGAAGGCGCUUUCUGGCCGAUACUGACGCGAGGCGUGAAAGCGUGGGGAGCAAACAGGAUUAGAUACCCUGGUAGUCCACGCUGUAAACGGUGAGUACUAGGUGUAGGGGGUACCGACCCCCCCUGUGCCGCAGCUAACGCACUAAGUACUCCGCCUGGGGACUACGGCCGCAAGGCUAAAACUCAAAGGAAUUGACGGGGACCCGCACAAGCGGUGGAGCAUGUGGUUUAAUUCGAAGCAACGCGAAGAACCUUACCUGGAUUUGACAUCCCCGGACCACCCUGGAAACAGAGUUUUCCCACUUCGGUGGACCGGGUGACAGGUGCUGCAUGGCUGUC
rnacentral:rRNA from 1 species